UUUCCGUAGGUGAGCCUGCGGAAGGAUCAUUAAUGAGUUGUCAUGGGGUUCGAUGCUGGCAGCCAGUUUUUGGAUGCAUGUGCUUGCCCUAACAAUCAUCUUCUUCCAAACACCUGUGCACAUUUUUGAGGGAGUCUUGAGUUGGUUGCCGCUCUUGGGUGAUUUUCUCACAUUCCCUUAAAUCAUUAUACGCUAUUAACAAUGUUGAACGUGCUCUGUGCCGCAAGGCCAUUAAUAUAAUACAACUUUUAACAACGGAUCUCUUGGCUCUC
rnacentral:misc_RNA from 1 species